GACUGAGAGCGGAGGCUGGGAGGAGGAGCCCGGCCUCGGCGCCUCCCCGAGCCGGCCCCCCCGGGGAGGAGAGGGGUGGGUUCGGCUCCCAGACCCCCCAGUCCGGGCGGGGAGGUGCUGCCGAGCUGUCAUCCACAAGGACCAGAAUGAAGAGCAGGGAAAGGCUGAGCCAGAGAUAACAGAAGGAGAGCACAAGGUCUUUGUGAUGAGUACGUCUUCCUAUGACAGCAGACUCUCAAGAGUUUGACCUAGGUUUCCUCAUCGGAGGAAACAGAGGCCACAGAUGUCACAUGCAGUUCAAACUGUCACAGAAGGCUGGAUGAAGUCUUUCAUGAAACUGCAGUCCUACAUACAGCGUUUGUUGUGGUUGGGAGAACCCAAACUCUCAUUCAUCUGUCUGAAGCAGGAAAAGGCACAAUGGUACAAUUUCAUGGAACAAUUUCAUGUUCCUCAUGGAUUGAGGAACAAUCUCAUGGAAUAGAAUUUAUAGUGUGACAGCAUCUUUUGAUGCACAGCUCUUGAAGAGUUUUCCAGAUUUUCUUUCUUCCUUGGAAACCUCUAAGAAGUUCCCACUUUUUUCGCUGUUAACCAAUCCUCUGCAAUUUCAAAACACCACAAUAUUUCAGUAAGGGUUGCUCCAGGAUUGUCCUAGGAUCGUGUGGCAUGGAAGUUCCUCUCCCUCCUGUGAUGGUGUAGCUGAUGUGGCUUUGUACCUUCUGGAGUUGUAGCUGCCAUUCAGUUCUCUUGUAGUGAUGGGCACAAUCAUGCUGGAAAUAUUUCUCAAGGGCUUGGAAGAGAAAUGGCACUCUGCAUUGCUUCAUGUCCUUUAAAACUAUUGCUUUUCACUUUUAAGGAUGAAAAUGUGCUUUUCACUUUUAAGGAUGAAAAUGCUGCUUGUUGCUACUCUUGAGGGCAUCAUUAAUCAGGUCUUACUGAAUGCUCAUCGGUUUAGUAGAUUUAUGUGUAUUUAUUGUAACAUUUCAUGUGCAGUUACAUCUAUUACACCUAGGCAGGUGCAGAUUCAUGGCUCGACAGGUAUAUUGUUCCUUUGCUGAGUCAAGGGAAGAUUUUACCCAGCCAUGCCAGAGAGCUUCAGCUGGCUGUAUGAAUUGAAAUAUAUUUAAGAUUGUAGAAAUGUAUUUAAGAUUGGUAGCAUUUGAAAUAAUUGGUGAGGACAGAAACUGAAAUGAGGAUCCAGUUGUGCUCAGCGUUGCAUGAGUAUAUAGUAAGAAGAGGCUUCUAGUCUAAAUAUAUAGAGAGGUGAAUGUGUGUGUGGGAAAAGUCACAGAAUAGAGAAGUGAUGUGUGCAAGAUCUCACAGCAGAUUGUUUGAAAAUCUUGGCAUGAACCCAUAACUCCUGUUUUCUGGGGCUAUUCCCUUGUUCUUCUCCAACUCAGCCUGCCAAUACAGAGUUGUCAUCUGUACAUGGAUACACAGAUGUCAUAGUGGACUGCAAAGCCAGAUCUUCAGCUCAUUGAAAAUCAGUGUUUUGUCAUGAUGUCAAUAAGGCUAUACUGUUUUACAUUAUGUGAGGGCUUUUCACUAAGUUUUUGUUGAUGUCUUCUAGUAUUUUUAAGACUCAGAACUCUAAAGUCAGGAUUUUCAAUAUUUCCUGCCUAAUUUAGGUAUGAAAUCCAUACUUAGGCUGAGAAGGCUAUGGCCAGAUUUUUGAUGGGUGAUUCUACUGGGAGCCUGAGUCUGUGGUAGCUCCAAUCACUCAUGUCAUUGCUUACGUAGGAAUGUAAGUGCUGUACUUCAGGCCACCUAGUUUGAAAAUUUGUCUGAAAUAUUGCUAGACAUUCCAGUAUAGCCAAAUGCUCCUAUUGCCUUUGUUUGGUUCAACCAUCCAUCCUUUUGAGUUUUCUUCAUUUAUAAAACUAAUGGUCUUGAUGCAUAGCUUUUGCAUUAAUUUGACCUUGUAUAAACAGAUAACAUUUGCAAAAAUUGGUUUAGCUUUUUCAUAGGUUCACAAUAGGAAUGAUUCAGGUUCUAUAUUUUGGGUCUUUAUCCCACUGGACUGCUGCUAACUUCAACAGUACAGGACAAAUCAACUAUGGAAGUAAAUUGCCCAAAAUGCCUUUACUGAAUUAAGCAUAACGUUCUCAGGUU